rnacentral:tRNA from 1 species
GAUGGUAUAGCUUAAUAGGUUAAAGUACUCCCUUGGAAUAGGUUUCAAUUUUAGAACCUUUUCCAAGGAAUGAUGUUGGUUCGAGCCCAACUACCAUCA